rnacentral:rRNA from 1 species
UACAGAGGUCUCAAGCGUUUGUUCGGAUUCAUUGGGCGUAAAGGGUGCGUAGGCGGCGCGGUAAGUCGGGUGUGAAAUCUCGGAGCUUAACUCCGAAACUGCAUUCGAUACUGCCGUGCUUGAGGACUGGAGAGGAGACGUGGAAUUUACGGUGUAGCGGUGAAAUGCGUAGAUAUCGUAAGGAAGACCAGUGGCGAAGGCGGGUCGU